rnacentral:lncRNA from 1 species
GGAGUAGGAUUCAUCUGUGGGAAGUGCUGGGAAGUUUGUGGGCCAGAAACACAGUGCUUGAAUUGCUGGAUCUAUUACUGGAUCUUACCAGACUGGCUUUCUGUAAAGACCGCAUGGCCAGGGUAAACUCUCCAUCCUGCGUAAGGUGCCAAAGCCUGGGAGUCUUGGAGGAGAAGGAAGAACCAGAGAGGCUGAGAAUUUGCAGCCUUCGGAGCCAUCCGAAGGCGCUGCCUGCACCUUGUGAUCUCCCC